UGGCGAACGGGUGAGUAACGCGUGAGGAACCUGCCUCAAAGAGGGGGACAACAGUUGGAAACGACUGCUAAUACCGCAUAAGCGCACAGGAUUGCAUGAUCCGGUGUGAAAAACUCCGGUGGUAUAAGAUGGACCCGCGUUGGAUUAGCUUGUUGGUGGGGUAACGGCCCACCAAGGCGACGAUCCAUAGCCGGCCUGAGAGGGUGAACGGCCACAUUGGGACUGAGACACGGCCCAGACUCCUACGGGAGGCAGCAUG
rnacentral:rRNA from 1 species